CUCCUACGGGAGGCAGCAGUGAGGAAUAUUGGUCAAUGGACGAGAGUCUGAACCAGCCAAGUAGCGUGAAGGAUGACUGCCCUAUGGGUUGUAAACUUCUUUUAUAAGGGAAUAAACCCUCCCACGUGUGGGAGCUUGUAUGUACCUUAUGAAUAAGCAUCGGCUAACUCCGUGCCAGCAGCCGCGGUAAUACGGAGGAUGCGAGCGUUAUCCGGAUUUAUUGGGUUUAAAGGGAGCGCAGACGGGUCGUUAAGUCAGCUGUGAAAGUUUGGGGCUCAACCUUAAAAUUGCAGUUGAUACUGGCGUCCUUGAGUGCGGUUGAGGUGUGCGGAAUUCGUGGUGUAGCGGUGAAAUGCUUAGAUAUCACGAAGAACUCCGAUUGCGAAGGCAGCACACUAAUCCGUAACUGACGUUCAUGCUCGAAAGUGUGGGUAUCAAACAGGAUUAGAUACCCUGGUAGUCCACACGGUAAACGAUGGAUACUCGCUGUUGGCGAUAUACUGUCAGCGGCUUAGCGAAAGCGUUAAGUAUCCCACCUGGGGAGUACGCCGGCAACGGUGAAACUCAAAGGAAUUGACGGGGGCCCGCACAAGCGGAGGAACAUGUGGUUUAAUUCGAUGAUACGCGAGGAACCUUACCCGGGCUUAAAUUGCAAAGGAAUAAUCUGGAAACAGAUUAGUCUUCGGACCUUUGUGAAGGUGCUGCAUGGUUGUCGUCAGCUCGUGCCGUGAGGUGUCGGCUUAAGUGCCAUAACGAGCGCAACCCUCGCCGCCAGUUACUAGCAGGUAAUGCUGAGGACUCUGGCGGGACUGCCAUCGUAAGAUGUGAGGAAGGUGGGGAUGACGUCAAAUCAGCACGGCCCUUACGUCCGGGGCUACACACGUGUUACAAUGGGCGGUACAGAAGGCAGCUACCUGGCGACAGGAUGCCAAUCCCUAAAGCCGCUCUCAGUUCGGACUGGAGUCUGCAACCCGACUCCACGAAGCUGGAUUCGCUAGUAAUCGCGCAUCAGCCACGGCGCGGUGAAUACGUUCCCGGGCCUUGUACACACCGC
rnacentral:rRNA from 1 species